GGGUUUUGUGACACGUGGUGAUUUGUAAACCAGAGACACCCUGAGGGCAUACUAUACAGCAUAUUUGAACCUCCAGCUCCCCUUCAGAAUCUAACACCCCACUGGCUUCCACUGCGGGACGCUGGAUCAGAGAAGUCAGCUCAGGCCCUGGGUGUCCGGGGAGAGUUUAGCGUUCCAGGGGAGUCUAUGAACCUGGCAUGGCUUCUGCACACACUCACAUGGACUAGCUCCUGGGCUGCCUCCUAGGACAUCUGUGGUCUCAGGCCGUGCUCUGGACAUCCUGGAAGCACUUGGAACAGGAUAUAAAGGCUGCGCUUUCCACCCAGCCUGACAUUCCGCUUCCAGAUGCAAGACUCUGAGCAGGCCCGAGGACAUCCCCGAAGCAGCUGGGAGCAGGGAGCUCGAGGUUCCAAUUUGAAAAGCCAAGUCUAGUGGCUUCCAGCUUGGCCCUCACGUCCGCCCUCAUUCUCCCCUCCCUGGCCCUCAAAGGUGUCUAUCCCAGGACGUGCAAUGCAGAACUGGCUACAGUUCCGGGCAUCCUUGGAGCAUCCUGACGCACGUCUCUCUGGAUAAGGGAGGGUCACGAUAUGUAAAAUGGGACGAUGGCGGUCUCAGCAUGUGUCAUGCCACCUGCCUACGUGCUGGGAACUGAACUCAGGUCCUCUGCAAGUAUAGUUUGUACCCUUUAACCAUCGAGCCAUCAUCUCCAGCCUGGCUGGUGGGGUUCUGUUGCUUUGGUUUGGUUUGGGUUUGAGGUAGGUUCUCAUGCUCCUGUCUCUCACGCUGGCUUUGUGUAGCUUAAGUGUGACCUUGAGGGGCUGGAGAGCAAUAGUGUACGUAUAUAUAAUCAAUAAAUAAAUCUUUAAAAAAAAUAA